rnacentral:lncRNA from 1 species
AGAUUCCAGAGGCUUCUUUUCUGUGGGCGUGGCCAAGGCAGCGGGGGUUUAUGACAAAGUUGAGCGACCUCAUGUCACUCAAACCAGCUGUAUUAAGGAAGGUGCAAGCUUUUGGGAUUUCUGUUUGGAUUUAGUUUAGGUUCAAAAGAGCACGCACAGAUCCUGAGUGUUGUCAAGCACCCGUGACUGGGAAACGGAGGCGUCCGAUCCGUAUUGGAGUCAAUUCGCCACUUAAUUGAACACAGCCUCGAAGGGAAGGGCCAUAUUUGUGGGCCUGUCUAACAAUUAAGAGUGACCACAUGGAAUGGGGGAUGAAAGGGUUAAAGAAGAACAAAUAUUGAACACAGCUUUUCUAUGAACAAACUGCAGGCAGCUGCUGCUUUGCAAGGGGAACUUCUUGGCUGCCAUUUCUGGAUGUCAAGGCUGCAGAUACACUGGUCAGGACCCUGGGUAGAGAGAGAUGCGUCAGAAUGCGGCUCCUUUCAGAAAGGCUUCUCCGGAGGUCAGCACUCGGGCAAAAGGCUGUGUGUGAUGUGUUUGGGAACACAAAGGGUGAUAAUCUUUACCAUGUGCACAAACAUGAUGCUCUCCUGAUGUGAAAACAUUGGUACUAUGAGGCUCCCAGAAUUCCCAGCCUUUAGAACUGUUGGUGAGGUCAGCUGACUACUAGAAGACAGAUCUAUUUGAAGAUUUUUGUGGUGGUCUUUACUACUCCAGAGAUUUACAGCUGAUGAAAAAUGGAGAAGUACAUGACCCUACCCUGCUGUUGGACAUGCUACCCAAGGAUCAUGACUGACAACUUGUCAACAUCACUAUUGCUUAUUUAAUAAAUGUGCAGUACUACUUCAAUAAACCUGGAAUCAUAAAAUUUUAGAGAACAAA